rnacentral:rRNA from 1 species
UGGGGGAUAACGUCCCGAAAGGGACGCUAAUACCGCAUGACAUCCUGCCUUUGAACAGGUGGAGAUCAUAUCUUGGGGAUCGUAAGACCUAGCGCUCGGAGAGGGGCCCGCGCCUGAUUAGCUAGUUGGUGGGGUAACGGCUCACCAAGGCAACGAUCAGUAUCCGGCCUGAGAGGGCGGACGGACACACUGGGACUGAGACACGGCCCAGACUCCUACGGGAGGCAGCAGUGGGGAAUUGUUCGCAAUGGGCGCAAGCCUGACGACGCAACGCCGCGUGGAGGAUGAAGAUCUUCGGGUCGUAAACUCCUUUCGAUCGAGACGAAUGAUCUCCGGGUGAACAAUCCGGAGGAAUGACGGUACCGAGAGAAGAAGCCCCGGCUAACUCCGUGCCAGCAGCCGCGGUAAUACGGGGGGGGGCAAGCGUUGUUCGGAA